rnacentral:rRNA from 1 species
AUGACGAGACGCUGCUCGCCGCCGCUCGCUGCUCUUGUCCUGCUUCUCCUCCUCUGCUUCUCCUACGGCGUGGCGGCCGCUCGGCCCCUCCCCGCCAACACUGCUCCUCACCAAGGCAUCGGCGUGGUGAGAGUCAAGGCGGAAGAUGCUGCAGCAACGGACGGCCUAGUGGUGCUCAAGGAGGAAGGUGGCAAGGCCGGUAAUGGCGGCGAGGCGGUGUCACCGUCUGAGGCGACGGUGGACGAUGCGACGGCAGAGGAGGAGGCGUGCGAGGAGGGGAAGGAGGGGGAGGAGUGCAUGCAGAGGAGGCUGCUCCACGACGCGCACCUGGACUACAUCUACACGCAGCACAAGGGCAGGCCAUGA